GAUGAACGCUGGCGGCGUGCCUAAUACAUGCAAGUCGAGCGAACAGACGAGGAGCUUGCUCCUCUGACGUUAGCGGCGGACGGGUGAGUAACACGUGGAUAACCUACCUAUAAGACUGGGAUAACUUCGGGAAACCGGAGCUAAUACCGGAUAAUAUAUUGAACCGCAUGGUUCAAUAGUGAAAGACGGUUUUGCUGUCACUUAUAGAUGGAUCCGCGCCGCAUUAGCUAGUUGGUAAGGUAACGGCUUACCAAGGCAACGAUGCGUAGCCGACCUGAGAGGGUGAUCGGCCACACGGGAACGGAGACCCGGUCCAGACUCCUACGGGAGGCAGCAGUAGGGAAUCUUCCGCAAUGGGCGAAAGCCUGACGGAGCAACGCCGCGUGAGGGAUGAAGGUCUCCGGAUGGUAAAACUCUGUUAUUAGGGAAGAACAAAUGUGUAAGUAAAUAUGCACGUCUUGACGGUACCUAAUCAGAAAGCCACGGCUAACUACGUG
rnacentral:rRNA from 1 species